rnacentral:rRNA from 1 species
CGGACGGGUGAGUAACGUGUGGGCAACCUGCCCUAUACUGGGGAAUAAUCACUGGAAACGGUGACUAAUACCGCAUGUCAUUACGGAAGGGCAUCCUUCUGUAAGAAAAGGAGUAAUUCGGUAUAGGAUGGGCCCGCAUCUGAUUAGCUAGUUGGUGAGGUAACGGCCCACCAAGGCGACGAUUGGUAGCCGGACUGAGAGGUUGAACGGCCACAUUGGGACUGAGACACGGCCCAG